UACGCAGGACCCAUCCUAUACAAGCAGUGCGUCUAUAAAACGCGGUAAGAUCUCUCACCAGCCCCUCCGAACGGAGAAGAAAAACAUCAACAAUAAAGUUGGAAAAGAAGAAGAAGAAGAAUAAAAAAUGGCGAGUGGCGGUGCUGCAGCUGCUGGUGGUGGAAAAGUGUCGUUCAAAGUUACGCUCACCUCCGAUCCAAAACUCCCUUUCAAAGUAUUUAGCGUACCGGAAGCAGCCCCGUUCACGGCCGUUUUGAAAUUCGCUGCCGAGGAAUUCAAAGUUCCUCCCCAAACCAGCGCUAUCAUCACCAACGAUGGAGUGGGAAUCAAUCCUCAACAAAGUGCAGCAUCCCAUAAUAUCAAGGAAAUGUCUGCCAGUAACCCCUAGGAUUAUGAGCAAGGCACAAAUCAUUUAUUGUUCAUGCCUUGGUCUGUCUUCAACAGCGAGUUACUUCUCAAUUUGUUUAGAAAAAAACUAAAUCGUAACACUUCAACCCUAGGCCUUGCUCAUAUGGUAGCUCCAUAUGUUAGGAGGCAAUGUCUUCCUUAAACAUGGUACUGAACUGCGCUUGAUCCCCCGUGAUAGAGUUGGAGCUUUUGAAUGUUGAAAACAGGAUCAUCAUCAGACAUAAAAAGUGGUUUAUCUUUUUGAUGAAUCUGUGUCUUGUUUUCUUCUGUGCCAAUUCUAUAAGUUGGGUUGAUAGUUGCUUCCUGCGCAUUAUAUUACUGAUAUGAUGAUCAAUAUGAAUUGAGAUGAAAGGUAGCUGCAACACAUGGUCUUUGAGUUAAUUAUAAUGGAAAGGUCGCAUUGCCCUUUUUCUUA